rnacentral:rRNA from 1 species
AUCUGGUUGAUCCUGCCAGUAGUCAUAUGCUUGUCUCAAAGAUUAAGCCAUGCAUGUCUAAGUAUAAGCAACUAUACGGUGAAACUGCGAAUGGCUCAUUAAAUCAGUUAUCGUUUAUUUGAUAGUACCUUACUACUUGGAUAACCGUGGUAAUUCUAGAGCUAAUACAUGCUAAAAACCCCAACUUCGGAAGGGGUGUAUUUAUUAGAUAAAAAACCAACGCCCUUCGGGGCUCCUUGGUGAUUCAUAAUAACUAAACGAAUCGCAUGGCCUUGCGCCGGCGAUGGUUCAUUCAAAUUUCUGCCCUAUCAACUUUCGAUGGUAGGAUAGUGGCCUACCAUGGUAUCAACGGGUAACGGGGAAUUAGGGUUCUAUUCCGGAGAGGGAGCCUGAGAAACGGCUACCACAUCCAAGGAAGGCAGCAGGCGCGCAAAUUACCCAAUCCCGACACGGGGAGGUAGUGACAAUAAAUACUGAUACAGGGCUCUUUUGGGUCUUGUAAUUGGAAUGAGUACAAUUUAAAUCCCUUAACGAGGAACAAUUGGAGGGCAAGUCUGGUGCCAGCAGCCGCGGUAAUUCCAGCUCCAAUAGCGUAUAUUAAAGUUGUUGCAGUUAAAAAGCUCGUAGUUGAACCUUGGGCCUGGCUGGCCGGUCCGCCUCACCGCGUGUACUGGUCCGGCCGGGCCUUUCCUUCUGGGGAGCCGCAUGCCCUUCACUGGGCGUGUCGGGGAACCAGGACUUUUACUUUGAAAAAAUUAGAGUGUUCAAAGCAGGCCUUUGCUCGAAUACAUUAGCAUGGAAUAAUAGAAUAGGACGUGCGGUUCUAUUUUGUUGGUUUCUAGGACCGCCGUAAUGAUUAAUAGGGAUAGUCGGGGGCAUCAGUAUUCAAUUGUCAGAGGUGAAAUUCUUGGAUUUAUUGAAGACUAACUACUGCGAAAGCAUUUGCCAAGGAUGUUUUCAUUAAUCAGUGAACGAAAGUUAGGGGAUCGAAGACGAUCAGAUACCGUCGUAGUCUUAACCAUAAACUAUGCCGACUAGGGAUCGGGCGAU